AACGCGAAGAACCUUACCUACUCUUGACAUCCAGAGAACUUAGCAGAGAUGCUUUGGUGCCUUCGGGAACUCUGAGACAGGUGCUGCAUGGCUGUCGUCAGCUCGUGUUGUGGAAUGUUGGGUUAAGUCCCGCAACGAGCGCAACCCUUGUUGUUAAUUGCUAACAGGUAGAGCUGAGCACUUUAGCGAGACAGCCUAGGUUAACUAGGAGGAAGGUGGGGAUGACGUCAAAUCAUCAUGCCCCUUACGUUUAGGGCUACACACGUGCUACAAUGGUGAGAACAAAGAGAAGCAAACUAGCGAUAGUGAGCAAAACUUAUAAAACUCAUCUCAGUUCGGAUUGCAGGCUGAAACUCGCCUGUAUGAAGAUGGAGUUGCUAGUAAUCGCGAAUCAGAAUGUCGCGGUGAAUACGUUCCCGGGUCUUGUACACACCG
rnacentral:rRNA from 1 species